rnacentral:lncRNA from 1 species
UGCCAACUUUUCAAAAUGCCCAUGGGGGUUUUGCGUGCAAGAUGGCUCUCAUAGUCCUACAAAACCUUUAAGGGGGCCUUCAAAUAUAUUCUAAUGUUGUUUUUUUGGCUUCUUUAUACUUUUACUAGGCUAUAGCCAUUGUAAAAUAAAUUGUUUUGUUUAAAUUGUGGACACAAUUGCUCUUUAAAAAUUUCCAUUUGGGAGCCUCCAUGGGGGAAAUCCCCC